UAUUAUCUUAGUAUAGAAUGUAUAGUUAUUUUCCACAUAACAGGCUUAAUUAAAUUAAAGAUAAUAU
rnacentral:tRNA from 1 species